rnacentral:rRNA from 1 species
UACUGAAUGACUACUGUCGUUUAGUCAAAGAAGGCUUCUGUUUACAUGCUUUUGCUGAAGGAUGAGUCCGCGUACCAUUAGCUAGUUGGUAGGGUAAUGGCCUACCAAGGCGACGAUGGUUAGCUGGUCUGAGAGGAUGAUCAGCCACACUGGAACUGAGACACGGUCCAGACUCCUACGGGAGGCAGCAGUGAGGAAUAUUGCGCAAUGGGGGCAACCCUGACGCAGCAACGCCGCGUGAGUGAGGAAGGUUUUCGGACCGUAAAGCUCUGUCGAGCGGGAAGAAAUGCAUGGUGGCUAAUAUCCAUCAUGCUUGACGGUACCGCUAAAGGAAGCACCGGCUAACUCCGUGCCAGCAGCCGCGGUAAUACGGGGGGUGCGAGCGUUGUUCGGAAUUAUUGGGCGUAAAGAGCGUGUAGGCGGCCGAAUAAGUCAGAUGUGAAAUCCCUGGGCUUAACCCAGGACGUGCAUUUGAAACUAUUCGGCUAGAGUAGGGGAGAGGAAAGUGGAAUUCCUGGUGUAGAGGUGAAAUUCGUAGAUAUCAGGAGGAACACCGGUGGCGAAGGCGACUUUCUGGCCCUAUACUGACGCUGAGACGCGAGAGCGUGGGUAGCAAACAGGAUUAGAUACCCUGGUAGUCCACGCUGUAAACGAUGUUCACUAGGUGUUGGGGGUAUUGACCCUCUCAGUGCCGCAGCUAACGCA